rnacentral:rRNA from 1 species
GGUUAAGCGACUAAGCGUACACGGUGGAUGCCCUGGCAGUCAGAGGCGAUGAAGGACGUGCUAAUCUGCGAAAAGCGUCGGUAAGGUGAUAUGAACCGUUAUAACCGGCGAUGUCCGAAUGGGGAAACCCAGUGCAAUUCGUUGCACUAUCGUUAACUGAAUACAUAGGUUAACGAGGCGAACCGGGGGAACUGAAACAUCUAAGUACCCCGAGGAAAAGAAAUCAACCGAGAUUCCCCCAGUAGCGGCGAGCGAACGGGGAGCAGCCCAGAGUCUGAAUCAGCUUGUGUGUUAGUGGAACGGUCUGGAAAGUCCGACGGUACAGGGUGAUAGUCCCGUACACCAAAAUGCACAGGCUGUGAACUCGAAGAGUAGGGCGGGACACGUGGUAUCCUGUCUGAAUAUGGGGGGACCAUCCUCCAAGGCUAAAUACUCCUGACUGACCGAUAGUGAACCAGUACCGUGAGGGAAAGGCGAAAAGAACCCCGGCGAGGGGAGUGAAAAAGAACCUGAAACCGUGUACGUACAAGCAGUGGGAGCACCUUCGGGUGUGACUGCGUACCUUUUGUAUAAUGGGUCAGCGACUUAUAUUCUGUAGCAAGGUUAACCGUAUAGGGGAGCCGCAGGGAAACCGAGUCUUAACUGGGCGUUAAGUUGCAGGGUAUAGACCCGAAACCCGGUGAUCUAGCCAUGGGCAGGUUGAAGGUUGGGUAACACUAACUGGAGGACCGAACCGACUAAUGUUGAAAAAUUAGCGGAUGACUUGUGGCUGGGGGUGAAAGGCCAAUCAAACCGGGAGAUAGCUGGUUCUCCCCGAAAGCUAUUUAGGUAGCGCCUCGUGAACUCAUCUUCGGGGGUAGAGCACUGUUUCGGCUAGGGGGGCAUCCCGACUUACCAACCCGAUGCAAACUACGAAUACCGAAGAAUGUUAUCACGGGAGACACACGGCGGGUGCUAACGUCCGUCGUGAAGAGGGAAACAACCCAGACCGCCAGCUAAGGUCCCAAAGUCAUGGUUAAGUGGGAAACGAUGUGGGAAGGCACAGACAGCCAGGAUGUUGGCUUAGAAGCAGCCAUCAUUUAAAGAAAGCGUAAUAGCUCACUGGUCGAGUCGGCCUGCGCGGAAGAUGUAACGGGGCUAAACCAUGCACCGAAGCUGCGGCAGCGACACUAUGUGUUGUUGGGUAGGGGAGCGUUCUGUAAGCCUGCGAAGGUGUGCUGUGAGGCAUGCUGGAGGUAUCAGAAGUGCGAAUGCUGACAUAAGUAACGAUAAAGCGGGUGAAAAGCCCGCUCGCCGGAAGACCAAGGGUUCCUGUCCAACGUUAAUCGGGGCAGGGUGAGUCGACCCCUAAGGCGAGGCCGAAAGGCGUAGUCGAUGGGAAACAGGUUAAUAUUCCUGUACUUGGUGUUACUGCGAAGGGGGGACGGAGAAGGCUAUGUUAGCCGGGCGACGGUUGUCCCGGUUUAAGCAUGUAGGCUGAUUGUCCAGGCAAAUCCGGAUAAUCAAGGCUGAGGUGUGAUGACGAGGCACUACGGUGCUGAAGUAACAAAUGCCCUGCUUCCAGGAAAAGCCUCUAAGCAUCAGGUAACAUUAAAUCGUACCCCAAACCGACACAGGUGGUCAGGUAGAGAAUACCAAGGCGCUUGAGAGAACUCGGGUGAAGGAACUAGGCAAAAUGGUGCCGUAACUUCGGGAGAAGGCACGCUGGUGUGUAGGUGAAGUCCCUGCGGAUGGAGCUGAGACCAGUCGAAGAUACCAGCUGGCUGCAACUGUUUAUUAAAAACACAGCACUGUGCAAACACGAAAGUGGACGUAUACGGUGUGACGCCUGCCCGGUGCCGGAAGGUUAAUUGAUGGGGUUAUCCGUAAGGAGAAGCUCUUGAUCGAAGCCCCGGUAAACGGCGGCCGUAACUAUAACGGUCCUAAGGUAGCGAAAUUCCUUGUCGGGUAAGUUCCGACCUGCACGAAUGGCGUAAUGAUGGCCAGGCUGUCUCCACCCGAGACUCAGUGAAAUUGAACUCGCUGUGAAGAUGCAGUGUACCCGCGGCAAGACGGAAAGACCCCGUGAACCUUUACUAUAGCUUGACACUGAACAUUGAGCCUUGAUGUGUAGGAUAGGUGGGAGGCUUUGAAGCGUGGACGCCAGUCUGCGUGGAGCCAACCUUGAAAUACCACCCUUUAAUGUUUGAUGUUCUAACGUUGGCCCCUUACCGGGGUUGCGGACAGUGUCUGGUGGGUAGUUUGACUGGGGCGGUCUCCUCCCAAAGCGUAACGGAGGAGCACGAAGGUUAGCUAAUCCUGGUCGGACAUCAGGAGGUUAGUGCAAUGGCAUAAGCUAGCUUGACUGCGAGCGUGACGGCGCGAGCAGGUGCGAAAGCAGGUCAUAGUGAUCCGGUGGUUCUGAAUGGAAGGGCCAUCGCUCAACGGAUAAAAGGUACUCCGGGGAUAACAGGCUGAUACCGCCCAAGAGUUCAUAUCGACGGCGGUGUUUGGCACCUCGAUGUCGGCUCAUCACAUCCUGGGGCUGAAGUAGGUCCCAAGGGUAUGGCUGUUCGCCAUUUAAAGUGGUACGCGAGCUGGGUUUAGAACGUCGUGAGACAGUUCGGUCCCUAUCUGCCGUGGGCGCUGGAGAAUUGAGGGGGGCUGCUCCUAGUACGAGAGGACCGGAGUGGACGCAUCACUGGUGUUCGGGUUGUCAUGCCAAUGGCACUGCCCGGUAGCUAAAUGCGGAAGAGAUAAGUGCUGAAAGCAUCUAAGCACGAAACUUGCCCCGAGAUGAGUUCUCCCUGAGACUUUAAGUCUCCUGAAGGAACGUUGAAGACGACGACGUUGAUAGGCCGGGUGUGUAAGCGCAGCGAUGCGUUGAGCUAACCGGUACUAAUGAACCGUGAGGCUUAACCUU